UUGCACGCUGGCGGCCUGCUUUACCCCUGCAAGUCGCACGGCAGCGCGGGCUUCGGCCUGGCGGCGAGUGGCGAACGGGUGAGUAAUGCAUCGGAACGUGCCCAGUAGUGGGGGAUAGCCCGGCGAAAGCCGGAUUAAUACCGCAUACGACCUGAGGGUGAAAGCGGGGGACCGAAAGGCCUCGCGCUAUUGGAGCGGCCGAUGUCGGAUUAGCUAGUUGGUGGGGUAAAGGCUUACCAAGGCGACGAUCCGUAGCUGGUCUGAGAGGACGACCAGCCACACUGGGACUGAGACACGGCCCAGACUCCUACGGGAGGCAGCAGUGGGGAAUUUUGGACAAUGGGGGCAACCCUGAUCCAGCCAUGCCGCGUGCGGGAAGAAGGCCUUCGGGUUGUAAACCGCUUUUGUUCGGGAAGAAAUCCUCUGGGCUAAUACCCCGGGGGGAUGACGGUACCGGAAGAAUAAGCACCGGCUAACUACGUG
rnacentral:rRNA from 1 species